rnacentral:rRNA from 1 species
UACAGAGGUCCCAAGCGUUGUUCGGAUUCACUGGGCGUAAAGGGUGCGUAGGUGGUGGGGUAAGUUUGAUGUGAAAGCUCCGGGCUUAACCCGGAAAUGGCAUUGAAUACUAUCUCGCUUGAGGGUUGGAGGGGAGACUGGAAUUCUUGGUGUAGCAGUGAAAUGCGUAGAUAUCAAGAGGAACACCAGUGGCGAAGGCGAGUCUCUGGACAACUCCUGACACUGAGGCACGAAAGCGAGGGGAGCAAACAGG